rnacentral:rRNA from 2 species
AAGCAAAUCCCAUAAACCGUGGCUCAGUUCAGAUCGUAGGCUGCAACUCGCCUACGUGAAGGCGGAAUCGCUAGUAAUCGCAGGUCAGCAUACUGCGGUGAAUACGUUCCCGGGCCUUGUACACACCGCCCGUCACACCAUGGAAGUUGGCCACGCCCGAAGCCGUUACUCCAACCCUUGUGGAGGAGGACGUCGAAGGUGGGGCUGAUGACUGGGGUGAAGUCGUAACAAGGUAUCCGUACCGGAAGGUGCGGAUGGAUCACCUCCUAA